rnacentral:rRNA from 1 species
UGCAGAAGGUCAUUUUUAAUCUAAAUGGUG